UGUUCUAGAGGAAUGGAGGAGUCAACUGAGAGCACAAAUAAAAAUUGAGGAAUCUCUCCCAUUUGGCCACAUGGAGCACACUGCUGGCUGUAUCCAAGGCAGUUUGCGCAGAAAUGAAUGGCACAGGACUGGAUGGAAGAGGAGGUGACCGCAGGCGAGGACACGCUCAGACGUUUUCCCGAAGCGCAUGUGAGCGAUGCAAUAUUGCUUAUCGAAACGUCGGGUAGCAGCUAUCUUCAUGCCACACAUCCGUC